AAGACUACACAUUCAAGGAUAAUUUUUCUAGUUUGCUACUAGUGAAGCUUCUCUGAUCUCAUAGACUACUAGAAACAGGCACAGGGUUCUAUCCUGAGUGUGAAACUGCCACUUGGUAUUGCUUUAUUGUAACUGCUAUUUGCCAUUGGUGAUCAGUCUUCAGUUCCUUUAGGAGAGGAAGAGGAUACAGUCUGAGUGGU
ensembl:snoRNA U3 Small nucleolar RNA U3